rnacentral:rRNA from 1 species
UGCAUGGUUGUCGUCAGCUCGUGUCGUGAGAUGUUGGGUUAAGUCCCGCAACGAGCGCAACCCUUAUCAUUAGUUGCUAACAUUCAGUUGAGCACUCUAGUGAGACUGCCAGGGUUAACCUGGAGGAAGGUGGGGAUGACGUCAAAUCAUCAUGCCCCUUAUGUCUAGGGCCACACACGUGCUACAAUGGUGGGGACAGAAAGAUGCGAAACCGCGAGGUUGAGCCAAACUUUAAACCCUAUCCCAGUUCGGAUUGCAGGCUGAAACUCGCCUGC